GUGUGUGCAGGUGCCAGCAACCCAGGGAUGACCAUAGAGAAUGAGGCGUAACCAGAGUUGGAGAUAGAGGUGUAACCUUCAACCCAGAAAAGUCUAUGCUGCCCCCUCUUCGGUGUUUGUGCCUAUCAGAACGUGACGUGGUGGUGACUUCAUCGGUAUUUGUUGUUCUCCAUACUGCACCCUGCUUCUGAGAGGUUUACAUCACUGGUGUCGCAUAUGAAACCAGAGAAAAAAAACAAACAUCAGUAUUACUGUUAUUGUUAUAAGCAACAAUUCCUGCUGCUAUCUGAAAGUAUUUUGGGCUUCAGAACAAGUGGAUUGAAGUUAAUAUUGCAUUCCAACUAUCACUAUUUUCUUUUGUUUGUAUAUGAAAAAGCACAGAGCAGCAAUGGAAGAGAUGAUUUUGCACUUUGUACACUAGGAGGAUCAAUCUGAGCUGCUUUUGUAUGUUACAGUAGAAUUAUCACAGGUUUAUUUGUUUUAUGUUAUUUUCAUAGCUUAGCACAUAAAGUAACGGCUGUAUGAGUUUGCCAAAUGUUUUCACACUAAGUAUAGAUUAGCAGUGGUAUUAAUGUGAUGUAACUGAUAAAAAACUGAUAUUCCUUUAGCCAUUUUUCUUUUUUCAGUGAAGGUUUUUGGGGUUUUUUGUUUUUCUUUCCCACCAUGUUGUGGAAGUUCAAAUGAUGCAUGCUCUCAUCUCAGGAUGUCAACACAAACACACUUUGCUGUAGUGAACUGUACCACAAGAUGAUGUUCUCCCCUUUUGCUUGGAAACAACAAAAAAAAAAAAGUGUAUUAAUUAGUAAUCUGAAUAAGGGCUCUUCUGACUCGUUAUAGCAUGAGUGAGGAUGUUGCUGUCACACUGAAACACCUGAGAGCUGGUGCUGCUCUGUGCUGCGACAGCGUGUGCCCCCCCCUCCCACCACCACCUCUGCCAAAUAUCUAAACUGCUGUCUGGUAGCCUACAGUCAAACUGCCGGCCAAAAAAAAGCUUCCCGACUGUCUCUGGAGGGCCAGCACACCAGCCUCUGUGUAAUGCUGCAGAUCUGCUCACCAUCUAAAAAAAAAGCAGAUACUGUUGAGUGUUUUUCUAACUCACAACACGAUGCUGUGGAUGCACUGCAGAGCAAAAAACAACAAAAAAACUAAAAUGAUAACAGCUCCAGUCGCUUUGUACAGUAUAUUUUCACCUUCUGAGGAUUCUGUCUGUUCUCGUCUCUGGCUGGAAAUAAAAUAUCACUUUAAAUUAGUUGGAAGAAUGUAUGCCUGUUUCAGAAAAAAAAAAGCUCCAUGGUGACAGUCAGUGUCAAUCUAUAUUUUUCUAUUCUUCUGUCUGUAUGACUCAAGAGACAAUAUGGAUGUGUGAGGUAAUGUACUGUACAGUUGUGAUGCCUUAUAAGAAUAAAAUGAGCUCAUCUUCA